rnacentral:lncRNA from 1 species
CUCCUUGGCAUUCUGGUCCUUACCCAAAGAUCUUCUUCUGAACUUGAGCUUCCUCGGACCUUCAUUCUCCGACUUUAUCUCUAUCACCUUCCCCCUCCUGAAACGCAAUUUCACAGGUUGCGGAUCUUGGCUCUCCGAACGAACCACCCCCUUCCUUCUGUUCCACUUCUUCUGUUCUUCAAUGUCCAACGAAUCUAGCUCUUCGUCAUCAGUCAGACUGUAUUCAGAUUCCUCAUCUUCAUCCUCAUUGGUAAGAGAAGAUGAUGACGAUGAACACCCUG